AUUGAACGCUGGCGGCAUGCUUUACACAUGCAAGUCGAACGGCAGCACGGGAGCAAUCCUGGUGGCGAGUGGCGAACGGGUGAGUAAUAUAUCGGAACGUGCCCAGUAGUGGGGGAUAACUGCUCGAAAGAGCAGCUAAUACCGCAUACGACCUGAGGGUGAAAGGGGGGAGUCGCAAGACCUCUCGCUAUUGGAGCGGCCGAUAUCAGAUUAGCUAGUUGGUGGGGUAAAGGCCUACCAAGGCAACGAUCUGUAGUUGGUCUGAGAGGACGACCAGCCACACUGGGACUGAGACACGGCCCAGACUCCUACGGGAGGCAGCAGUGGGGAAUUUUGGACAAUGGGCGCAAGCCUGAUCCAGCAAUGCCGCGUGCAGGAAGAAGGCCUUCGGUUGUAAACUGCUUUUGUUCAGGGAAGAAAUACUCUAGGUUAAUACCCUU
rnacentral:rRNA from 1 species